rnacentral:lncRNA from 1 species
GCUAAUGAUUGAUUGUAUGUUCGUGUGUUGUUCUUCAGAGGAGCCAGAAUGCGAGGUGCUCGUCGAUCUGUGGAAUCGACUGGAGUUCCAUCUGAGAGGGAAGGUAUGGACACCUUUCCCCCUGCUCUGCUAAGAGCGCAGUCUUGGGGAGUCAGCAGAUGGGGAACAUCAAGGGACCCUGGAAGGUCUUUUGAUGCAAGCAG